ensembl:lncRNA
CGAAUCUUUAUCUGUGGAGCACAAGACUAGAUGAGAACACAACCUAUAAAUAUACAUAUCAAUGUCCUGCUCAACUGACAAUAUACAGGAGUGUUACUGUGUUUAACACUCAAUGCAAAAAAAAUUAUAAAGCUUAUCUGAUCACUGAGUAGAGCUCAUAAUAUUAGCUCUAAUGUUAGCUAUGUUAGCUAAAAACAAGCUAACAAAAACGAUAGGAAAUGAAUGGGAAUGCCUUUAGUGCCUAUACCUGUGAGCCAAAGUUUAGAGAUAUCUGGGACAGCCGUGUCGGCUGGGUGGAGAUGACCUGGUGGAGGCGGGGGGGUGGUGGUGACGGUGUAAUGAGAGUGAUGAAGCAUGGACAUGACGGAGGAGGAGAGGGAUGAGGUCAAGAGGUCCAUCUUGCCCUCCUCCUGCUCCUCCUCCUCCUGCUCCUCCUCUUCCUCUUCCUCCUCCUCCUCCUCAGCCUGGGGCCCCUCAAACAGCUCCAGGGAGCCCCCCCAGCUGCCCUCCUCCCCGGGCCCUCCUGUGGGGCCGGCCAGGCCAUCCAGGGCUGGGAUGAAUGGAUGAAUGAUGAAUGGAUGAAGCAUAAAGACAGUGUAGAUGUCUGGGUGAGUGUUGUUGAGAAUGCAGGCGGGUAGGGGUUAAUGACCAUGGUUACACGGGGAACUGGUUUGAGGUUUGAACUGAUUGAACGGCCACAGGUGGAAGUUAGAGGCACAAAGGCUGAAGUGAAGUCAGAAGGGAAUGAGGAACACGAAGGCUGUAAACACUAGUGUGUACUUUUUAAAACAGGAUGAGUCCAUUGUGUUUCAGAGUAAGUUGUGACAGUGGCGCUAAUGCAAGGGUGUUUGCAAAUUAUGAACACCACUCAGCUACACACUUUGAACUCUGAUCCCCCGACCUCACACGGUGAGAGCCACGGGCGACCGGAAGGCUCCAGACAGUCAGAGAGUUAGCAACAGAUUAGCUUCAGGCGGUCAGAGAGUUAGCUCCAUGCGGUCAGAUAGUUAGCGACAGAUUAGCUCCAGGCGGUCAGAGAGUUAGCUCCAUGCGGUCAGAUAGUUAGCAACAUAUUAGCUCUAGGCGGUCAGAGAGCUAGCAUCAGGUGGUCAGAGAGUUAGCAUCAGGCGGUCAGUUAGCUUCAGGCGGUCAGAUAGCUAGCGACAGAUUAGCUACAGGCGGUCAGAGAGUUAGCUCCAGGCAGUCAGAGAGUUAGCUUUAGGCGGUCAGAGAGUUAGCUUCAGGUGGUCAGAGAGUUAGCUUCAGGUAGUCAGAGAGUUAGCUUCAGGCAGUCAGAGAGUUAGCUUCAGGCAGUCAGAGAGUUAGCUUCAGGUGGUCAGAGAGUUAGCUUCAGGUAGCCAGAGAGUUAGCUUCAGGCAGUCAGAGAGUUAGCUUAAGGCAGUCAGAGAGUUAGCUUCAGGUGGUCAGAGAGUUAGCAACAGAAAGGGAAACCGUUCCUUACACAUGGAGCGGCGCAGCAGAGACUUGACUUUGUCUCGGUCCUUCAGUCGGUUCCUCAUACGGGAAAGAGUUUGAGGGCGGCCGCUUAUAACACCAAUGGAGGAGGGGGGGUGAGAGGGGGAGACACAGAGAGAGAUGAGAGGGGGGAGACAGAGAAAGCUCAGCCCAAUGCAGGAAGAGAAACGAGUAGGAAGGAAAGAGGACGGAGUACAGUGGGAAAGGAGGGGAUGAGAGCGACAGGGUGGGGGAAUGAGAGAGAGAACACACAUUAACAGACACACACACAGAAACACACACACAAACACAGUGCAGCACAGGGAGAACACAACUGGGGGUGUCGAGCAGUUGACACACGAUGAGUUUUCAGCAGAGCGUACCCCGCCAGGUUUGGGGACCGUAGUGAAGCCAAAGUUGAAGAAUCUCAAGCUUAGCGCUAAACUCAAAAUAUGAGUUUAGAUUCAAACCUGACUGCCCCUGAUGAGCUGGCCUUGCAUGGCUGACUCCGCCGUCGGUGUGUGAAUGUGUGAACGAAUGGUGUUAGGCAAUAUUGUAAAGAGCUUAACUCAAAGUUGACCAAACCAUCCGUGUUUACACACUGUUGGAUGGAGAAAGUCAAGCAAAGCUUUGUCCUGAUUGGACGAGGUCAGCGUCCAGCCGGGGUCAAAGUCGAAAGAGUUUGAACUUCAAGUGCGGUGUCAAGGUGUCUAUGUAUGUAUGUAUGUAUGUAUGUAUGUAUGUAUGUGUAUGUAUGUAUGUAUGAAUGCCAAUCAUGGCACCCAUUGCACUCCUAAUCAUCCCUGGAAGGAGGGAUCCCCAUUUGGAAGGAGGGACCCCCCACUCUGAAGGAGGGAUCCCCCCACUCUGAAGGAGGGAUCCCCCUCUCUGAAGGAGGGAUCCCCC